rnacentral:lncRNA from 1 species
GAUCAUUCCGCAGAAUCUGAUAGUCGAGUAGCAUCCGACGUAUUCGGAUAGGAUAACGAUGGCAAGUCGAAUAUCCAUUGUCCGGCCCUUGGUCGGACGUAUGCGUCGGGAUGUAUGAUAAACGGUGGCAAGCCGAAUAUCCUUCGAUCGGUCAUGACCAGAUCGGUAUGUCGCGAAUACAACUGCGGUCGUCUUAGCGUUUUGCCUUUCUUAGUCGAAGCUAAGUCGGCAAGUUAGCCAGCCGCAUUAGUCGAAGCCCUUUGCCUUCAGAGGUGGGGGCCGUCGUAGAUAUUCCGCUCCUUCGAUCUCCGUUGUAGAAUCCGAUAUGUCCUCGACGAUCGAGACGUAGAUUGAGCCAUUGGUUCGGCGAUUCGUCGAUCAGGCCGACGACGGAGUCGUAGAUUCGGCGAUCGGCAAUCGAGCCAUGUUGGUCGGGACCUU